rnacentral:rRNA from 1 species
UGGGGAAUAUUGCACAAAUGGGCGCAAGCCUGAUGCAGCAACGCCGCGUGAGGGAUGACGGCCUUCGGGUUGNAAACCUCUUUUAGUAGGGAAGAAGCGAAAAGUGACGGUACCUGCAGAAAAAGCACCGGCUAACUACGUGCCAGCAGCCGCGGUAAUACGUAGGGUGCGAGCGUUGUCCGGAAUUAUUGGGCGUAAAGAGCUCGUAGGCGGUCUGUCGCGUCUGCUGUGAAAACCCGAGGCUCAACCUCGGGCCUGCAGUGGGUACGGGCAGACUAGAGUGCGGUAGGGGAGAAUGGAAUUCCUGGUGUAGCGGUGGAAUGCGCAGAUAUCAGGAGGAACACCGAUGGCGAAGGCAGUUCUCUGGGCCGUAACUGACGCUGAGGAGCGAAAGCGUGGGGAGCGAACAGGAUUAGAUACCCCUGGUAGUCCACGCCGUAAACGUUGGGCGCUAGAUGUGGGGACCAUUCCACGGUUUCCGUGUCGCAGCUAACGCAUUAAGCG